UACGUAGGGCGCAAGCGUUGUCCGGAAUUAUUGGGCGUAAAGAGCUCGUAGGCGGUUUGUCGCGUCUGCUGUGAAAACCUAAGGCUCAACCUUGGGCUUGCAGUGGGUACGGGCAGACUAGAGUGCGGUAGGGGUGACUGGAAUUCCUGGUGUAGCGGUGAAAUGCGCAGAUAUCGGGAAGAACACCCGUGGCGAAGGCGGUUCUCUGGGACGGUACUGACGCUGAGACGCGAAAGCGUGGGGAGCGAACAGG
rnacentral:rRNA from 1 species